CUCCACCACUUCCCUCCGUUCCUAUCCCAUUAUGUACGACGUUCAGCUUCCUAGGAUAUUUUCUAGCGCUCCUUUCUUCUUCCGUCCCAUGCAACACUUGGUUGCUUGCCUCCCUGGCCGCAUCACUUCUGAACCUCCCCAAGCAAAUGUGCCAUCUCUCAGCUGUCGUGCUCAUCGGAGCCAGCCUCCACCACCGUCCACAGCUCUCUGGUGCUCGCCCAUGGCGCCCGCCCUGCCCCAGGUCCGAAGCUGGUCGUCGUGUAUGCUCGGUCUCACGGGCGCCAUCGUUCCGCGCACCGGCCUCGGCAAACUCCAAGAACCUGGGCCGCCUGGGCCCAGCACGUUAUCCUCGUCACCAGCUCGCUCGCGUGCCCAGCUUCCUGUUUUCCCUCUUCCUCCCGCGCUCGGACAUCGCCAGUGAAGGCCCGCGCGCGCCGUCGUUUGAAUCCUGGUUUUCUCCCUACUCGCUGCGCUCACGUCGUCGUCUUCCUGCUCGUUCCGCGACGUCGCUCCCAGUCCACAGCUCGUUGGCUUCCCUGUGCGCGGUUGCGGAUGCCGUCGCCCGAUCCUUGUGCCUUGGCCCGAUCCUUGUGCCUUGCCGAGCUCAUCACCGCCGCGAGACUCUGCAUCGCUGUGCUCAGCCACGCCUCCCUAGUCGUCUUGCACAUACUCAUCUCCAAACAGGACCACGCUGCCGACUAUUGACCCCGUCGUUGCCUCGCAGCGCUCGAACACUAUCGUUGUCACUCGACAACGUGUUUGCCCGUCACCACGUUACCUUCAGCAACACGGCUCUACUGGACUCCGUGCGCUCGUCGACACCUGGUUAUCGAUCUCCGCCACGCCGUGCCCCCGCUCUUCAGCAUCGUCGUCACCCUUUUUCUGUUAUGUCGCAGGCGUUCGUGGAUUGGUAAGCUGAUUUAUAAAUUUUGCUAGUUGGUUUAAUGAAUGGAUUAGCUAGAUAGAUUAGUCACAAUGAUGUUGUGAUUAUAUUAAGUGUUGUUGAAGCGUAUCGUCUCAUGCAGUAAUGUGAUUGUGAAGUGGUUGCGUCGUGUGAAGCUUAGUGUUAAGAUUUAAGUUUUACAAUGAGUAUUUUGAUAGAUGAAUAUGUCAUGUGUUGCUAGGACAAGUAAAUUAGUAACACAAAGAAUCAUUCUGUCGUUUAGUGUUGUCAGCAGUGAUUUUUGAUAAAUCUUGAUUGCAUAGUGAAGUCGAUGAUUUGCUCUGGUAAUCAUUAUAUUUGAUGUUUAGAAAUUGAUUAUGUGUCAGAUGAAUGUUGUUUGCCACUCCGAGUAGUGGGGAGCAAAUAACAUCAUCCGGUAAUUGUCAAUUUCGUGUUCUGAAUGUUUAAAAGAGAGUAGCGUUAGUGAGCCGAUUUUAAUUGAGAUCCAAGAAACACUGUGGUAGAUGUAUAAAUAAUUUAGGUAUUUAGGUCGAAUUAAUAAUAUGAAGGAUAGGUCUAGUGUUUCUAACGGCUAGCCGAUAGAUUCUACUAGCGUUGUUUGCAUUGAUUUUUAUUUAACAGGUGAAGUAACGUCUUACCGUAGCAGUGGUCGUUCUUUAUGUAGUUAAUCAGCUUAGUGUCAUAGUGGAAUGUUGAUUGCUUAGGUCGAUAGUCUAGGAUAAAUGUUUAUCAUAGCCUAAAUUAUUUGGAAACAAGUAACAUCAGUAGACCACUUUCUAUUGAAAUUUAGGAUACAUAAGCGCUUUAGAUAUUUAAUCUGUUGAGAAUGUCGUUUUUUGGAAAUGCUAUUUUUUAUAUAAUACUUUAUCAGAUGGUUUGAAUAGUGUAGUGCUUUAUUGAGUUGAUAUCCUUUACAUGAUAAUAUAGUAUAGUAAUUCUAAAGUUAAAUGAAAUGCUACUGUUCAUUAUUUUAAAUCUUGGAUGUUCUAUAAUAGUAAGUCUGAGUUUUAGAUGUUAUGCUCUAGUCAAGAGAGAUAGAGUGCUUAUGAAUAGUUCGCUAUGGCUUGCUGUUAGAAUUGGGUCCGGUUAAGUUAGAAUGCCAUAGCUAUAGUUCUUAAUGUGAUUUCGACACCUAGUGUUUUCGUAUUAGAGUUGCGAUGUCUUGCUAUAAGUGUCACACCCGGUUUUGAAAGUAAACCGAAUGCGAACCAUGUACGUGCCAGGAUCAGAACUCACGUACAUAGCGAUUACAUAAACGACUCAUCAUAGCACAAUGCUUCGAAUAACAAUAAAGAGUAAGUAAUAAUAUUAAAGACUAGAGUCAUUUACAUAAUAUGAAUCAAAGUGCACAAAAUAGAAACGUAGCCAACGUAAACAAACCCACCACAGAUAGCUGACUGGGGGAUGUCGCUAGCCUAAUCCUCGAAUUCAUCGAUGUCCUGGAACUCCUGGAGAUCCGCCUCGACGCCGUCUUCUUUACCUGAGCAUAGAUUGCACCAAAGGCAACCUGGUGUUUUGUGAAAGCAAGGGUGAGUACACAUCAACAUACUCAGCAAAUGUCCCGUUUGGCUGAGUUGGACUAGCUUUAUGUGAAGUUAAGGUUGAAGCAGUUGCUUUUAGUUGGUCAAGUAUUUAUUAUUAGUGGGAGCCAAGUUUUAGCAAUAACCAACCCGUGAAUCAUUUCCUCAUCGAGGAACAUCAUUAUCAUCAUCGAACCAAAACCAUAAAUAGAACCAUUGAAUCUCAGGUCAUCUGUAUCUCUAAUCAAAGAGGAUCCAAGGCCACUCAUAACCGUGAGCACGGCUGAUAUAUCAGUUUCAUAACACUCUGCAGAGGUUGCACACUUUACCCAUGAGCCGUGAUUCCCUUUCUGCCUGAGGAUUGCGACUCCCCAUUGAUCACUUCCAAGGUGAACUAGCAGGGUCUCACUACAUGGCUUUUCCCUAGGGUCCUCACUAUGCGAAUGUUGGAAAUGACCAUUGCAUAAAGUUCAUCUAACGUCCCAAAACAUAUACCUCCGCCCUCAGGAAAAAGCCGUGGGACGAUGCCUGUACCCAGAUCCCUGAGCGAGAAUAUAGGAGCCAUAACAGAUGCCUUCGUUCCCCAAUGACCAAAACCAGCACCCAACAUAGGACUUCCCUAAUUACUUGGCCAAGGGCAUCCCAUAUCACCCUCAUGGUUGCACUGUUUUCCCGGGUGGUCUCUCAACGAACAGGUCCUUACGGAGAGGUACUCAAGAAAACAGCCUGAGUCCCCUAAAGUGCCACAAGUAUAUCAUCAUAUCCAGAAUAGUAUCAUCAUUGUAUCUCAUCAUGUUCAUUGAUUAAAGUAAAGCAAUAGCAUAAAGCUAACCAUAGUAACCCAAAAGGUAAAUAAGGAUGAGGUAAAUACAGAGCAGUCAAUCCUUAGGUUUCAAUAAUGUAAUGCGGGACGAUGAAUUAUAAGUAUGUAGGACAUAAUAGGUUAGAGGACACUUGCCUUCACCAAACAGAUGCUCAGGGUCUUCAACCUUGUAGAACUCGAAGAACCAGGUCACUUGGUGACCGAAGCUUGACCGUCGAUUCCUCGAAGCUCGAAAACGGAUCGCAAUCAGAGUCAUGGCAGCGAUGUCCCCUCACGACGGUUGCUGCUCGACGAAGCUGGUGAUGGUGGUGUCACCCCGGGAUGGAGAUUGCGAGAACGGGCGGUGGUUCUGUGUGGCGAUGGGCAAGGAGCAGAGGGGUGAGGGAAGAAGAGAUAAAUGUGCAGGGAAUAUGGCUUUUUAUGCAGGCGGCUCACAAGGUCGUGGACUCGUGGUGACGGUUGCCGAGAGGAAAAGAAAAUUGUUUUCCCCUUAUUUUCUCUAUUUCUUGCUCUUGUUUUCUAUCUUCUAUUUUAUUCUAUUUUCUUUUGAAUUCAACUUCAAACACAAAUUUGUGGAGUACGUAAAUGCACAACUAGAAUAAAUCAACAUAAAAAAAGAAGAGAUGAUUCAACAUGUCAUGCAACAAUUCUGACCCGUUUUGAGUUUUAUUUUACUAGGCUUACAAUUAUAUAAAACUAAAUAACUCUCCACAGUUUAGAACAAAGAGUAGAAAAGAAGGGAAGAAAGCGGAUAACACCUGAAUUUGGUGGAUGCUAGGAAAAAAAAUUAUACCCUCAAAUUCAGGGUGUUACAAAUCUAACCCCCUUAACAGAAUCUCGCCCCCGAGAUUCAAGAAGAGGCUAUAAAGAACGACAAGUUAGGUUCAUAAGUUGUUCACGGCUUUCUUGAGUUGACUUUGACUCUGCAAGCUUAGCUUGUGGACUGGUUGCUUUGACCUUCAGAUGUUCACGACCAACUAUCAAUUCUUGAGGAUCUCUUGGACUUGUGAGUUAGGACCCACACACGCUUCCGUUGCGCUACUCUGAUCUUGUUUGUUGAGGUUGAACGAAUUGUCUUCAUUGGGGUUAGCAGCUAACCCCCUUAACAGGAGCAUUGAUACGCACUUGGUGAAGAUGCUACCGACUCUGAUCUUGACUGGUUAAAAGAGGUUGUAGGAUGCCACCCGGACAGGUACAAGAGGAAAGAGUAGAUAGAAAAGGUAAGCAUAGAUGGAUUAGAGAGAGCAAGGGGAGAACCCAAUUACUUAACUAUAUGGCACUCACCUAGUAAACUGAUGUCAUUGCGGACUAAGGGCCACAACACAUCAACACUCAUCACAAAGAAGCAAAUCAGUCAUAACACAAAGACAAACAUCGCAAGCAUACAACAACAAACAUCUCGUUGCUACACGUUAAUGUUAACUAGAUGGUGGCCUUUCCUUACAAAGGGGAAACUACUCUAAGGCCAUCGAAAGGCGAGGGGAAUGAUAAGACAUGGAGGAUAGGGGCAUGAGCAUAAUAAAGGAUGGAACUAAAGCAAGGAUUUUAACCGACAGGGAGAGAAUGCAACCAAGGUCAGGAUAGGUAAAACACCAUUCUCAAAUCGAGAUGGAAAAGAUGAUAUUUAAAAAGGUAGGCAUAGGAUAAGCAUCAUGGAAAGAUCUAGAUAUUAGGAAGGUAAGGGUGAUAUCGAGCAAAAGCUAAGACUUGCAACGUGAUAGAGGAAAAGGGAACGAACUAGAGCGGGAUGGGUUAGAUAUCACUCUUGAAAUGAAAUGGGAGAGGCGGCUUUAAAAUAUGGAUACAUGAUAAGCAUCAAGGUAAAUAUCAAGGGAUGACAAGGGUUAAGGUGAUAACAGUCAAAUACACAACCAAGAAUGUAUAUUAGACAAGACUUGCAAGGUGUCAAAGAAGGGGGGCAGCCAAUGGUGAAAUAGAUGAGGCAUUAUCCCCGAACAGGGAUGGAAAAGAGAAGGCUUCAAAGGAUAGGUUCAAGAUAAGCAGGAGGGCAAGGGCAUAGAUAUCACGUGGGUUUUAAAGGUAAUAACGGCUAAGGAUGUAGGAGAUGAGGUAUAUAGGCAUAAGACAAAAGAUAUAAGUACCAUAAAGGAUGGAGUUAAGAUGGGACCUACAAAUGGAAAAGGAGAGGGUACGUCCAAGGGCCAGAUGGGUAAACUGCCACUCUCAAUUUGAGGUGGAAGAGCAGAGAUUUUUUUAAAGAGUAGAAAUAAAUAUGAGUAUCAAGGCAAGAUCGAUGGACGACAAUGUGAGGGUGAUAGAAAAUAAAAACACCUCAAGGGAUAGAAUUAACACAAAACUUGUAAGGCGACAAGAAGUGAAUAGAAAUCAAGGGAGAGGUAGGUACCUCGCAACUCUCAAACUAGGUUGAAAGAAAGUGGAGGCUUUUAAAGGACAAGUUCAAGGUAAGCAUUUAGGUAGAAGACAUAAAUAUCGCAAGGGUCAAACGCGAUAACAGACAAGGGUAUGAGAGAACAGAUGAAGGCAUAAAAGAGCUUGUGGUAUGAGUACAACAAAGAAUGGAGUUGCGCCCAAGCUUACACUUGGUAAAGAAGAGGAUAUAGCCAAGGGUGAGGUAAGUAAAACACUGCUCUCAAACUAAGAUAGGAUAUUGGAUAUUUUAGAGAACAGACAUAAUGUAAUUACCAAGGUAGGAUCGAGAGAUGAGAAAGGUAAAGGUAGUACCCAACAGGAGCACAACAAAGGAUGGAGUUGAAAACUCGCAAGCGACAAGGAGGAGGAUACGACCAAGGGAAAAUAGGUAAAAUACAACUAUAAAAUUGAAAUGGAAGAGAGAAGGUUUUAGAGGACAGGUAUGACAUAAGCAUCAAGGUAAGAUAUAGAGGUGACAAGGGUAAAGAUGAUAAUCGUGAAAAGCAUAACCAAGGAUAGAGUUAAGGCAAGACUCACGAAGUGGCGAAGUGGAGAGAAUAAUCAAGGGUAAGAUAGGUAUGGUUCCAACAGAAGGGUUGAAGUAAAAAUUCAUUACCCAAGGAAGUUACAAGGAAACAACGAGAUCACCAAGGAUGUGCAAAAUAAAAUGACCGCUCAUGGAUCAUUAAGAAACAAGGGUGGUCAAGGACAUGUAAACUGAAAUGUUUUAAAUAGACAUUGGAUAUAAAGGUAAGCAUAUAAAAAUAUGAGAGUAUGUAAGGUUUCAAGGAGAUGAGCAUACCAAUACCAAGAGACAAGAAAUUACCGAAAGAUAGCGACUUAACAACAGAAAAGGAAAGGGUCUCAAAAGACAGAAAGGUCAUGGUCAUAUAAACUGAAAUAUUUAAGUAGGUAGUAGAGGUACAAGGGUAAGUGCUUUAGGUUAAGGGAUAAGGGUAUUAAAAAUGCAAGGAUACGAGCAUGUCAAUAACAAAAUGGAAUAGAGAUGGUCAAAUAGUAGCAAUUUAAUAAUGGAUGAGGAAAGAGUCCCAAAAGAUUAAAGGCUAUGGUCAGGGGGCAUCUACAAAGAUGUCGCAAGCACAAGAUAAGAUCAGAUCUAACAGAUUGGGAGAAGUAUAGACCAUACUAGAAUAAAAUACUUUUUGGCAAGGGGGCAUGUAGGAGCACAACAUAGAAUUAGUCGAGGUGACUAAUAUUUUGAAGCAGAAUCAAGGAUGAGAUGAAGUAGUAAUCAAUAAGUCCUUAAAACGACCAAUGCUACUCCAGGUCAGCGGUCCUACAGCCAGCACGACUUUGAUACCACUUAUGUCACACCCGGUUUUGAAAGUAAACCGAAUGUGAACCAUGUACGUGCAAGGAUCAGAACUCACGUACAUAGCGAUUACAUAAAUGACUCAUCAUAGCACAAUGCUUCGAAUAACAAUAAAGAGUAAGUAAUAAUAUUAAAGACUAGAGUCAUUUACAUAAUAUGAAUCAAAGUGCACAAAAUAGAAACGUAGCCAACGUAAACAAACCCACCACAGGCAGCUGACUGGGGGAUGUCGCUAGCCUAAUCCUCGAAUUCAUCGAAGUCCUGGAACUCCUGGAGAUCCGCCUCGACGCCGUCUUCUUUACCUGAGCAUAGAUUGCACCAAAGGCAACCUGGUGUUUUG
rnacentral:lncRNA from 1 species